rnacentral:rRNA from 1 species
UACGGAGGGGGCUAGCGUUAUUCGGAAUUACUGGGCGUAAAGCGCACGUAGGCGGCUUUGUAAGUCAGAGGUGAAAGCCCGGGGCUCAACUCCGGAACUGCCUUUAAGACUGCAUCGCUUGAAUCCAGGAGAGGUGAGUGGAAUUCCGAGUGUAGAGGUGAAAUUCGUAGAUAUUCGGAAGAACACCAGUGGCGAAGGCGGCUCACUGGACUGGUAUUGACGCUGAGGUGCGAAAGCGUGGGGAGCGAACGGG